UUGUUGGAGUCGCCACCUAGUAAUUUAUUGAAGGCUACUAGGAAACCGGAUGUACUGGUCUUAUCAGAGAUUCGCGGGUAAGGGACUGGUUGUGGUUAGGGAAGGUAUUAGCACCCCUAACGCACCCUACCUGAGGUAAGCUGCUUCGCAAAUUUGAUGUGUUUAAAGAAGUUUUAAUAAUUGUUUUUUCAUCGGAUAUUAGAAAUACAACUUACGUAUAAGUUAAUAAUUCUUUACCGUGAUCCAAUCAAAAUAUUAAAUUCUUCUUUAAUCUUUGCAAUUUCAUCAUAAAAAAUAUAUAUAUAAAAAAAUACAAACAAAUACAAACACACACAUUCACUCUUCCUAUAUUUUUGUUUCUUUUCUUUUCUUUUCCUUUCUUUUGUUACAUCCAAAUUCACAACAUACAAAUAAAAAUUCAAACUAAACAAAUAUUACAUUAAUCAAUUUAAAAAUUACAAAAUAACCCCUCAAAAAUCCAUAACAGUGCUGGGAAGCCCUUCCGGAACAGCAUGAACAGUGGUGGCGCGUCUUCCCACGCGCCACCGUCACUGGCGGCGCGUGGGUUC
rnacentral:lncRNA from 1 species